GUGUAUUGUACGGAUUGAUUGGUUGUUUUGUAACGCCCUGUGGGCUGUACUAUGUUUGUGGAUUGGGAAUAAAAGAGACUGUAUGUGACAGUACAGGGAAUUCCUGUUUUAACCCUCAAAGUGAAGUGUUGUCUCAUUAUUGGGGAAAGGAUUUAUUGUAUGCUGUUCCAGUUUGACUGCUAGGAGAGUAAACCUAUUCGUAUGGUUCCUAUUCAACUGUCUACAGCAUUCAUAUGCUUGGGAGAAUUUAUUUGUUUCUCCGGUUCGGUGAUUGUGGUGUCUGCCAGAGUGCUUG